AAGAUGAGAUUUCCCAUUACGCAAGUAAGUAAGAUCCCUCAAAGACGAUGAGGUAGAUAGGUUCGAGGUGGAAGUGUGGUGACACAUGGAGCUGACGAAUACUAAUCGAUCGAGGACUUAACCAA
rnacentral:rRNA from 2 species